rnacentral:rRNA from 1 species
UGGCGGCAUGGAUUAGGCAUGCAAGUUGAACGAACCACUUCGGUGGAGAGUAGCGGAAGGGUGAGGAACGCGUGAGUAAUCUGCCCCCUAGUUGGGAAUAACAGUUGGAAACGACUGCUAAUACCGAAUGUGGCUUCAAUCCUGCAUGGGAUAGAGGCUAAAGAUUUAUCGCUAGGGGAUGAGCUCGCGUCCCAUUAGGUAGUUGGUGAGGUAACGGCCCACCAAGCCGACGAUGGGUAGCUGGUCUGAGAGGAUGGUCAGCCACACUGGGACUGAGACACUGCCCAGACUCCUACGGGAGGCUGCAGUCGAGAAUCUUGGGCAAUGCGCGAAAGCGUGACCCAGCAAUGCCGCGUGUGUGAUGAAGGCCUUCGGGUCGUAAAGCACUGUCUCCCGUGACGAAAUUUGACGGUAGCGGGGAAGGAAGCCACGGCUAACUACGUGCCAGCAGCCGCGGUAAUACGUAGGUGGCGAGCGUUGUUCGGAUUUAUUGGGCGUAAAGGGUCUGUAGGAGGUUCGUUAAAUACGAGGUGAAAUCCCGAAGCUCAACUUCGGAACUGCCUUGUAGACUGACGGACUAGAGUACCGGAGAGGUAAGCGGAAUACCAGGUGUAGCGGUGGAAUGCGUAGAUAUCUGGUAGAACACCAAUAGCGAAGGCAGCUUGCUGGACGGAAACUGACUCUGAAAGACGAAAGCAUGGGGAGCAAACAGGAUUAGAUACCCUGGUAGUCCAUGCCGUAAACGUUGUCAACUUGAUGUGGGGGGAUUUAGUCCUCUCCGUAUCGAAGCUAACGCGAUAAGUUGACCGCCUGGGGACUACGGCCGCAAGGCUAAAACUCAAAGGAAUUGACGGGGGCCCGCACAAGCGGUGGAGCAUGUGGCUUAAUUCGAGGCAACGCGAAGAACCUUACCUGGUCUUGAAAUAUAUCGGACCGCCUGUGAAAGCAGGCUUCCCUUCGGGGCUGAUAUACAGGUGCUGCAUGGCUGUCGUCAGCUCGUGCCGUGAGGUGUUCGGUUAAGUCCGGCAACGAGCGCAACCCGUGUCACUAGUUGCCAUCAAGUAAUGUUGGGGACUCUAGUGAGACUGCCUAUGUUAAGCAGGAGGAAGGCGCGGAUGACGUCAAGUCAGUAUGGCCCUUACGACCAGGGCUGCACACGUGCUACAAUGGGGGGUACAAUGGGAUGCAAUGUCGCGAGGCGGAGCAAAUCCACAAAACCUCUCUUAGUUCAGAUUGCAGUCUGCAACUCGACUGCAUGAAGUUGGAAUCGCUAGUAAAGGCGAAUCAGCUACGACGCCUUGAAUACGUUCCCGGGC